rnacentral:rRNA from 1 species
UACGUAGGGGGCAAGCGUUGUCCGGAGUUACUGGGCGUAAAGCGCACGCAGGCGGUCUGCUAAGUUUGGAGUGACAGUUGGUGGCUCAACUACCAAAGUGCUUUGAAAACUGACAGACUUGAGGGCUUCAGAGGGACACGGAAUUCCGGGUGGAGUGGUGAAAUGCGUAGAGAUCCGGAGGAACACCAAAGGCGAAGGCAGUGUCCUGGGGAGUACCUGGACGCUCAGGUGCGAAAGCCAGGGGAGCGAACGGG